AUUGAACGCUGGCGGCAUGCCUUACACAUGCAAGUCGAACGGUAACGCGGGGCAACCUGGCGACGAGUGGCGAACGGGUGAGUAAUGUAUCGGAACGUGCCCAGCUGUGGGGGAUAACUGCUCGAAAGAGCAGCUAAUACCGCAUACGACCUAAGGGUGAAAGCGGGGGAUCGCAAGACCUCGCGCAAUUGGAGCGGCCGAUAUCAGAUUAGGUAGUUGGUGGGGUAAAGGCCCACCAAGCCAACGAUCUGUAGCUGGUCUGAGAGGACGACCAGCCACACUGGGACUGAGACACGGCGCAGUCUCCUACGGGAGGCAGAAGUGGGGAAUUUCGGACAAUGGACGCAAGUCUGAUCCAGCCAUGCCGCGUGCGGGAAGAAGGCCUUCGGGUUGUAAACCGCUUUUGUCAGGGAAGAAAAGGGCGACUCUAAUACAGUUGCCUCAUGACGGUACCUAAAGAAUAAGCACCGGCUAACUACGUGCCAGCAGCCGCCGUAACAC
rnacentral:rRNA from 1 species